CAUGUGUAGCGGUGAAAUGCGUAGAUAUAUGGAGGAACACCGGUGGCGAAAGCGGCUCUCUGGUCUGUAACUGACGCUGAGGCUCGAAAGCGUGGGGAGCGAACAGGAUUAGAUACCCUGGUAGUCCACGCCGUAAACGAUGAGUGCUAGGUGUUAGGUCCUUUCCGGGACUUAGUGCCGUAGCUAACGCAUUAAGCACUCCGCCUGGGGAGUACGACCGCAAGGUUGAAACUCAAAGGAAUUGACGGGGGCCCGCACAAGCGGUGGAGCAUGUGGUUUAAUUCGAAGCAACGCGAAGAACCUUACCAGGUCUUGACAUCCCGAUGCUAUUUCUAGAGAUAGGAAGUUUCUUCGGAACAUCGGUGACAGGUGGUGCAUGGUUGUCGUCAGCUCGUGUCGUGAGAUGUUGGGUUAAGUCCCGCAACGAGCGCAACCCUUAUUGUUAGUUGCCAUCAUUGAGUUGGGCACUCUAGCGAGACUGCCGGUAAUAAACCGGAGGAAGGUGGGGAUGACGUCAAAUCAUCAUGCCCCUUAUGACCUGGGCUACACACGUGCUACAAUGGCUGGUACAACGAGUCGCAAGCCGGUGACGGCAAGCUAAUCUCUGAAAGCCAGUCUCAGUUCGGAUUGUAGGCUGCAACUCGCCUACAUGAAGUCGGAAUCGCUAGUAAUCGCGGAUCAGCACGCCGCGGUGAAUACGUUCCCGGGCCUUG
rnacentral:rRNA from 1 species